CGACGUGUACCCUCUUCUCCAUCCAGCGUGCAAGACAGAGUGAGAAGAAAAGAGUCUCUCUACUUCUCUAUCUCUUGUUCUCUUUCCUCCUCGCUCCUCGUCUCUGUUUCUUGUCGCACGAAUGCACCUCGUUGUGCUCCGCAGAACACUACACGAAGCGCCUCGAACCAGUGUAGAACGGUUUGCAGUAAAGUAGGGCCGUUGUCACGUUUACCUCCUCGCGGGGAAUUAGGAAUUGAAUAAAAUACAGUGAUGAAGUACUCGCCGCAACAGCAGCAGCAAAAGGAAAGGAAGUCGGAGAGCGACAUUUGCUCGAUCGACGCGGCGACACCGAAUCGAGGAGCGCGGUGUCACUCGACAUCGACGGAGUGCAAAAAUUUGUCAAGCUCGUCGACGAGGAGCGCGAUCUGUCGUUCGCCGUCGACGGGGAUGUUCGCCUGGAUGCGUGUAUUCCGCCUCGCCUCGAUGCUUCACCAGAUCGGCUGCUAGAGCCGAGUAUAUGGAAAGCGAGCACCUCUUGCCGCAACUCAUAGAUGUAUUUAACGAAUUAAAAAUUUAAAAAGACCGUGUACACGUGUGUAUGUAUGUGUGUGAGCGCGUGCGUGUCAAGUGUCCAUAAGAGCGCACAGCCUGCGCCUACACUUAUGCAACCCGGCUCGUUUGCGUAUCUGCACGCAUGGUCACACGUGUACAGGUGCAUUCGACGACCCUUUCCUCUUGGUCGUGAAUUACCUAUCCAUAGGGUGAUCGGUUCGUAACGUAGGGACGGCCGACGUUAGCUCAACUAUAGUGCGUUACGCAAUAACAGCCACGUUAACAGCCACGGGCGUCGUACUGGUUACGUUACGCCUACUUAUGUAGAGACGAAAUUACAUAUACGCGCGUUCUCACGUAUACGCGCAUAGCGGUAAACGUUUUUGUAAGUGCGUAUACACGCGUGUGCAUCGUUGCACAUAGAGCGCAGUCCCGGGUUCCAGUUAAUCAAUUGGUCAUUUGCGAACCAUCAAUUAGCGCGUAAGCUUCGAAAUCGGAGGUAAUUUGUCGCAACACGUCGCUGGUGAUCCAUUCCAGAUAUAUCCUCUCAACGUUCUCUUCUCUCCCUUCUUCAGUUCACUUACCUUUGGAGUUACGGGUUACAUGUGCACGCGUGUACGAAUACCUGCCAUAGUAAAUACGGUUUUUUAGCUUGUACGUGAAUAGUGAUAAGGAUAUAACGUGGUGCUAUGUUCAAAACAUUCCUUCAUUGUCAAACUGUCUUUCGUUGCUUUAUUUUAACUUGUCUGUUUCUUCCUCUGUUUUUACCUCUUUCUCUCUCAAUUUCCCUGUCUAUAUCUCUAUUCUUACAGUAUCGAUUUUUUUGCGGAUAAGGACAAUCUAACACCGGUGAAUAUUAACUAUUUUUGUACGAACAUAAAUAAUCGUACUGCCUCCUAUAUUUUCUUUAUGGAUUAGUUUGAUCUGAAAUUUAUUAAAUUUCAUUCUAUCUGAAGAACUGAAAAGCGUAUUGAAAUUGGUAUAACUUUAUAUUUUGCAUUUAUUUCUUAAAAAUUACUCCUAUUGAAGCAUAUAAUAUCGCGCGCGCUUCAGGUAUCUACGAUCACUAAUUUACAUCCGAUUUCAUACCUUCCUCGAUUUAUUCUUAUGCAAUUGUUAAGAAAAUCUGUCAAUGUUGUUAAUAUCGAUCGAUAUAUUUUAUGACUACGCAAAUCGACAAAUAAAUUCAAUAUUUGCUUUAACGCGCGAUUCACUAUUUUAUGCGCCAAUCCUACAGACAUCCCAGAAAAAGAUCUCCGUUACUGCGAAACUGUGGUGGAACUGCGACCAGAACUUUUAGAAGUACGUUUAUCUUUGAAUAAUAAAACGUUGUUCUGU
rnacentral:lncRNA from 1 species